AUGGUGUGUUCCGUCCGAAACAUGCUGCGUUAUUUUAAGAUGUUGUUAUUAAAUUUAAAAAAAUAAGUUACAAAGAUGAAUAAUGCUCAUAACGCCUCAUUAAUUGUUUAUACGUUUUUGUGUUAUUGUUUGUUUAAUAUGUAAGUAUUUAAAACCAUUAUUAUUUAUUACCAAUCAAUAUUUAUAUUGUUGGGUAAACAAAUUUCGGAACAUCUUUCGUCUUGUUAAUGUAGCUGGCAAGCAAAGCGGCGUUAUGAAUAAAUUUAAGUUGCUAUAGAAACAAUGUUCUGUUGAUUGUCACUUGUGUCAUAGAAAAUAAAAAGAGCUAUCCAUUGUGUAUUCCUACUGUUGUAAUAAAUUAAUUUCGUGGACAAAUCUAUCUUCUAUUUUUCUACUGUAAAAUCACACUCAGCCACACGCUCACACACGUCUGACAUUGAAAAGACAGGGAUUUUUCUUGUUUUGACGUAUUUUCUAACCUCUUAGAAUGUUAUUAGAAGUCGUAAUAAAAUAAUUUGAAUAUAAAGCUAUGUUUUAAAGUAAAUAAAGACCAUUUAACGAUGUUAACAUGAUGAGACAUCGAUUUUAUGGAAUGGAGGAGAAGAUUUAACAGCUAGAAAUUAACAAAAAUCCUGCAAGAGCAUCGAGAUCUCGCUUUUGGCGAGUAGAAGUCCAAAGGCAAAGUGCAGCGGUUUGCAGUUCUUAGCCUCACUUUUUUGGACCUAACAAGACAGGAAAAGAAUAGUCAAAGAGGAAACCCGAGUAGCCAGAUGAUAAUAUAUGAAACCAUGAGCAGCCAGCCAUUGAAACUCUCAGCAAUUUGAAUAACAAUUUUGAUUGAUUACCAAUCAUGUAUCAUACCUAUUAAUAGAAAAUUAAAACUGUUAGGUACCUAUGUUUUAAUUGAAAUUCAAAAUAUUGUUUAAUGUUUUAUAAGUAUUUAUUAAAUAAAUUGUCACACAUAUAUUUUGUUUUAAUCCCAUUAAUGUCUAUUUGCCCGCAAGUGUUGAUGGUAUUUCUUAAGUGUGCCUAGGAACCUUAGUCCUAUUACUUAUUCUGUGCCGGAGCUGGAUCUUUGUAAGGUUUGGGUAGGGUAGGUACCUGUAAUGAUUAAUAAAUGUUGAUGAGUAGAAUACUAUAACAUUAAUUUUAUAGUUAUUAGUUUAGGUAAAUAAGUUUAUUAAGAUCUAAAACUUUCUGGCUAAAACACUUACGAGCAAAGGUAUGGAAUCACCCUGUUGUGUUUUGUUCUGUAUGAUCUUAAGAACUGAAUGCAUAUGACAUUUGUAUAAAAUAGUUCAUGGAUAAAUCUUAUGUAGGCAUGAGU